UACAGCCAUAUCACAUUGAAACACCAGUUCUUGUUCAAUCACUAAAGCUAAGCAACAUUGAGCUUGGUCAGUACCUAGAUGGGUGACCACUUGGGAAUAUCAGGUGCUGUAA